rnacentral:misc_RNA from 1 species
AGUGACUCAAGCUCCUGCUGAGGCUUCUUAAGUUACUGCACUUUUAUUUUAGAUGUUGUUUUGAGGAGUAAUUUGGCAUGUGUAUGUCAAAUUAUGUGCUUGAUGCAACUUUUUCCAAAAGAUAUUUUUUGCCUUAAUGGACCAUAUUAGUAUUUAUGCCCGUGUGUUGGACUUGGUGUAUAAGGAUCAUUCUUGUUGAUAUCUAGAUCUGAAGGCAUUUCUGUGGAGCAAA